rnacentral:lncRNA from 1 species
GACAGAGCCCACUCCGAGGAAGAAGAGGACCUGGGCAUAGGGGCUGUCAGCAAGCCACCACGACUUCUUGUCUCGCUAAUCUACAAGGGUUUUAACCAUGUACUGCAGAGAUACUAUGUAGAGCUAUUUCAUGACCUGCUACGUGACAAGGGGCCCACGAUGAAGACACUGUUUUCUGAGCUGUUUCAGUGCUAAUUCCAUGCAGAUGUGCAAGAGAUAAGGCAAAGAUGCUUGUGUUUGAAUUUCUGCUAAAAGGUGGCUUCCAUCAGCUUGUCGUUCGUGGAGCAUUGUCUUAUGGGACUGUGGAAAAAGAGAGGCAAACAGCUUGCUCGGAAGCACCCAGGGGAGCUCUGCACUCCCAUCAGACCCACAGCUGCCUAGCAGCCCCACAGAGUUCAUGAAACAGAUGCAGAACAUAGAAGAACGGGAGUCUUGUUCCCGUGCACUGAACAAGAGAAAUCCAGAAAACUGGGCCUGCUGCUCGGGUCAGUAAGCACUUCCACACUGCUUUACAGCUCCAAAGCACGUACGUUCCCUCUUAAAUCAAGUCUGCCGUUUGUCUAUUUGCUUGGCAGUGUCCAAUAACAUGUCAAUAUGGAGAAAUCUAGGGAGGUCUUCUACUGCUCGUAUAUCUUCUUGCCAUCGUUUGAAUUUGAGGAAUGUCUGAAGGGAGCUGAUGGUUGAUUCAGCGGAAUAAAAUAGAAUUUUG